CCUACGGGUGGCAGCAGUGAGGAAUAUUGGUCAAUGGACGGAAGACUGAACCAGCCAAGCCGCGUGAAGGAUGACGGUACAAUGUAUCGUAAACCUCUUUUGUCAGGGGACAAAUGCGGGUACGCGUCCCCGGAUGAGAGUACCUGACGAAAAAGCAUCGGCUAACUCCGUGCCAGCAGCCGCGGUAAUACGGAGGAUUCGAGCGUUAUCCGGAUUUAUUGGGUUUAAAGGGUGCGUAGGCGGUUCGUUAAGUCAGCGGUGAAAUCCCGGGGCUCAACCCCGGCCCCGCCGUUGAUACUGGCAGUCUAGAGUUUGAGAGAAGUAUGCGGAAUGCGCGGUGUAGCGGUGAAAUGCAUAGAGAUCGUGCAGAACUCCGAUUGCGAAGGCAGCAUGCCGGCCUCACACUGACGUUGAGGCACGAAAGCGUGGGGAUCGAACAGGAUUAGAUACCCGAGUAGUC
rnacentral:rRNA from 1 species